rnacentral:rRNA from 1 species
UACGUAGGGGGCAAGCGUUGUCCGGAAUCAUUGGGCGUAAAGAGCGUGUAGGCGGCCCGAUAAGUCCGCCGUGAAAGUCCAGGGCUCAACCCUGGAAUGCCGGUGGAAACUGUCGGGCUGGAGUCCGGAAGAGGCGAGUGGAAUUCCUGGUGUAGCGGUGAAAUGCGUAGAUAUCAGGAGGAACACCAAUGGCGAAGGCAGCUCGCUGGGACGGUACUGACGCUGAGACGCGAAAGCGUGGGGAGCAAACAGG